GGAGGAAAAGAAACUAACAAGGAUUCCCCUAGUAGCGGCGAGCGAACCGGGAGAAGCCCAGCUUGAGAAUCGCGUCGCACAUUUUGGCGGCGCGAGUUGUAGUCUGGAGAAGUGUCCUCUGCAGCGGACCUGGCCUAAGUCCCCUGGAAAGGGGCGUCAGAGAGGGUGAGAACCCCGUCGGGCCGGGAACCUGCUGCUCCACGAGGCGCUGUCGAUGAGUCGGGCUGUUUGGGAAUGCAGCCCUAAGUGGGAGGUAAAUUCCUUCCAAGGCUAAAUACAGGCGGGAGACCGAUAGCGAACAAGUACCGCGAGGGAAAGAUGAAAAGGACUUUGAAAAGAGAGUCAAAAAGUGCUUGAAAUUGCUGGGAGGGAAGCGAAUGGAGGCCUCGUGUGCGCCCCGGUCGGAUGCGGAACGGCGUUCAGCUGGUCCGCCGCUCGACGCGGGGUGCUGGUCGGCGUGGGCUCUUCCGGCGGGAUAAAAGUCGGCCUUGAGUGGCCGGCCGAUGCCGUCGGGAGGGCCGAGGAAUCGAAGCGCGCGCCCCUUCGCGGGGCGGGCCCCCCUUCACGGGGGGCGACCUGCGUGCUCGGG
rnacentral:rRNA from 1 species